UAGGGAAUCUUCGGCAAUGGACGAAAGUCUGACCGAGCAACGCCGCGUGAGUGAAGAAGGUUUUCGGAUCGUAAAACUCUGUUGUUAGAGAAGAACAAGGACGUUAGUAACUGAACGUCCCCUGACGGUAUCUAACCAGAAAGCCACGGCUAACUACGUGCCAGCAGCCGCGGUAAUACGUAGGUGGCAAGCGUUGUCCGGAUUUAUUGGGCGUAAAGCGACCGCAGGCGGUUUCUUAAGUCUGAUGUGAAAGCCCCCGGCUCAACCGGGGAGGGUCAUUGGAAACUGGGGGACUUGAGUGCAGAAGAGGGGAGUGGAAUUCCAUGUGUAGCGGUGAAAUGCGUAGAUAUAUGGAGGAACACCAGUGGCGAAGGCGGCUCUCUGGUCUGUAACAGACGCUGAGGCUCGAAAGCGUGGGGAGCAAACAGG
rnacentral:rRNA from 1 species